rnacentral:misc_RNA from 1 species
GCCGUGGUCGGCGAAGAGGACGCCGGCGUCGUCGGCGUAGUAGCUGCAGCCCUCGUCGCUGCCGGCGCCGUCGUCCUCCUCCGACUGGAUGCCCCCCGCGGCGUGGUCCAUGGGGCCCAUCACGCAGUCGUGGUACUCGUCGCCGCCCGGGAAGUACGACUCCACGCUGCUGUCCACGGCGGCGAGAUGCUGCCGGCCGCACCCGACCACCAGUUGCGCGUCCGUGUCCACCACCGCGCUCCCGCCGCUGCCCGUGCUCAGCCUGUCCUCGGCCUUCACCUGCUGCUCCUGCUGCUCCUCGAACGCCGCCGCCGCCUCCUCCAGCGCCGGUUCCUCGGCGUCCGGGACGGCGACCUUCACGUCGGCCGCCGCAGGCAAGCCCGGGACGUCAACGGCCGCGCCGGCGCUGCCCUCGGUCGUCGUCUCCUUCUCUUGCAGCUUCUCGGUCAACGACAUGACCUGAGAGUGGAGGCGGUGGUUGUCCUGGAGGAGGGCGUCGUGGUCGGCGCGGAGGGCGUCGAACGACGCCUUGAGGCGGUCGAAGUCGCGCUCGAGCUGCUUGGUCUUCCAGCGCGCGCGGCGGUUCUGGAACCACACGGCGACCUGCCGCGGCUGCAGCCCUAGCUUCCGCGCCAGCUCCGUCUUCCGCUCCGGCUCCAGCUUGUUCUCCUCCUCGAAGCUCCUCUCCAGCAGAUGCACCUGCUCCGGCGUGAGGCGCCGCUUCUUCUCCGGGAGCUGCUCGUCGUAGUACUCCUCUUCGAGGAGCUCGUCGGGGGUGGUGAAGAAGGGCCGCUUGACGCCGCGCCCUCCUUCCUCCAUGCCGAGCACCGGUCUCGCCCCU